UACGUAGGGGGCAAGCGUUAUCCGGAUUUACUGGGUGUAAAGGGAGCGUAGGUGGCAGGGCAAGUCAGAUGUGAAAACCCGGGGCUCAACCCCGGGAGUGCAUUUGAAACUGUCCGGCUGGAGUGCAGGAGAGGUAAGCGGAAUUCCUAGUGUAGCGGUGAAAUGCAUAGAUAUUAGGAGGAACACCAGUGGCGAAGGCGGCUUACUGGACUGUAACUGACACUGAGGCUCGAAAGCGUGGGGAGCAAACA
rnacentral:rRNA from 1 species